AUGACCGACCGGAACCUAGAAGGCACCAACACUUUGUUAGGCACCGAGGUCAAUAUCAAACAUACCACAGAGGAAAAAAUGCCCUCUUUGCUUCUCCUCCACGACCACGCUCAACACGUCCCUGCUCGGGCCAAAUGUGUGAUGAUAUUUAUUUAUUAUUUAUUUAUUUAUUUAUCUAUUAUUUAUUUAUUUAUUAUUAUUUAUUUAUUUAUUUAUUUAUUUUUCCCCCAAACCAAGCAAUUCCCUGCUCGGGCCAAAUGUGUGAUGUUAUUUAUUUAUUUGUUUAUUUGGCAGGGGGGAAUACCACUAAUUUAUUAUAAAAGAGAGACAUGGAGAUUAUCUACAUGAUGAAAGAUUUCACUGUUUCAGUGGAAUACUCAGCUUCAUGUAUGCUCUUUCAAUAAUGAUUUAUUUCAGUCUACAUACUUUCUGAGAAUGUCACCACUACUUAUCUCUAAAUAAGUAAUAUCCCUUGUCAUCUAGAAUUGCUUUGGUGCCUCCAUAUUUUGGGAGAAGUACUUUAUUUCUAACUUUGAUGCUAACUGGUUGAAUCUCUUCCUCUUUUCUCUUAAAGCCCAAUCCAACAGCUACUACUGUUGCUUGCAAUACUUUUCCUUGAGAUUUUUCUAGAAGCAUAAUCCCUUCUUUGGCUACAGUAGAGGCUAUACUCUUUGCAACUAAAACUCGGUCAAACAGGGGAAGAAACCUUCUAAACACAUGUCCUGCUAUGAUUCCAGCCACUACAUUUCAUACUCUGAAGACCCACAGUCUGAUCCUUGGGCUGCGUGAUCUUGAAGCUUUUUCAUAUAGAAUGAUGUUAGAUAGCAUAAAUUGGAGUUUUGUUGACCAUUGCAGAAAUUACAGAUAGCAAAUUAAAAGCAAGUUGAUUAAAAGAGUUAAAUAUAAAUAUUGUUAAAGAAAAUAUAGGUAUUGACUAACAUUAAAUAGGAUGGAGUUAUCUGUAAAUGACACAUGGAUAGUUUGUAAAAUAGUACAUACUAUUUGUUCUAAAUUAUUUCAUUUAUAUGAAGUUCAAAUUUUCAUAAAUCUAAUCUACAAUUCAGAAGUCAGGGUUAUUAAGCUACUCUUUGAUACUAGUUUUGGAUCUUUGCGAAAGGUAUUUUUCUUUUAUCAGUUGACUCUAUUGUGAGAUUUUAGUACAGGAUGGUGGCACCAGAGGAAGACUGGAAAGCAGGAAGAAGGAGAAAUUAUUUGCUCCAAUUUUUUUCUUUGCUUUCCUAACAGACUUACCAUAGAAAUGGCUCUUUACCCGAGCAGUGAUUGAAUAACCACUUGAAUAACCUCAGGUUAUUUUUCUGGCACUUCCAGAAAUCGCAUCAUUACGUUGUGUAUGCAUGUGAUUAUGGAGUCCAACACAUCCCAAGAUCUGCAUUCAACAAGCUGGAGACCUGGGAAAACCUAUUGGGCUAUUUCCAGUAUGAGUCUAAAACUCAGAAAUGAGUCCAAAGGCCUAAGAGAGACUCAGAAAUGAGUCUAAAACUCAGAAAUGAAAAAAAAAAUAAAAUAUAAAACUCAGAAAUGAGUCCAAAGGCCUAAGAGAGACUCAGAAAUGAGUCUAAAACUCAGAAAUGAGUCCAAAGGCCUAAGAGAGACUCAGAAAUGAGUCUAAAACUCAGAAAUGAGUCCAAAGGCCUAAGACUCAGAAUUGUAGUUCCAGUUCAAAAGCCUAUAGACUAGACACCCAGGAAAAAUUGGUGUUUCAGUUUGAGUCAGAAUGCAAGAAAAGACCAAUGCUUCAUCUCAAGGCAGUCAGACAGGGGUUCCCUCUCAUUCAGCUUUUUUGUUCUAUUCAGAUAUUUAAUUAAUUCUAUGAGUCCCUCCCACACUAGGAAAGGCAAUCCAAUUUACUCAACUUACCAUGUAAACCUUAAACACAUUAAAAAACAUCCUCACAAAAACAUCCAAAAAUUAUUGAAGUAAAUAUCUGGCAUACUAAAGUUGGCAUAUACAAUUAAGCACUAUAUCCGUUCUUCAAGUUGUAGAUACUAACAACCGAAAGCUUUCUUCUUUGUUACUCCAAGCAGUAACUUCUUCCCGAAGUUACUACUUCAUUGUUCUCUCAUAUCCCUGUUACAUGUCCAUUUCUCUAAUAACUCAUUAAAUCCACAUAUUAACCUCUCUGUUUUGACAUACCUAACUCAGAUUUUGCUUUCCGGAUGGGGCCUGGCUCGCUCAGCAUAGGUUCAAAGAGUGGUCCCAGAAAACGACCCUUAAAAAUGAGAUUUAGGAAUUCAUUUCCAGGUAUACUUGGACUUGAUAUCAGUAACAGCCAAUGAGAAAUGGGAUAUUAGCAACUAGUGACAUAUGGUAGCAUUAUGAAUAAUUAAUUAUGAGGCAAGAGUCUGGAUGAUCCAAGUACUGAUGCACCUGCCUAUUAUGGUAAGAAUAAUGAGGACCAGGGCUGUGGGCCAACAGGAUGGCUUUUUCUGACCCUUCUGGAAAGCUUAGAAGUCAAUACAGUGGCUGUCUGGAGGACUGUAAUUGGGAAACAAUAUCAUGAGAGUUGUUCAGAUUUUUAUAUAGUUCAUUUCCUUAAUCCGAUUAGCAGAUAAAAAUAUUCAUGCCCUUUGUGAAAAUGUAUCAAGGAGUAAAAUUGCUUAUGCUCUUUUCUUUAUGUGUUUCAUAUUUCAAUAACAUUUCCAAAAAAAAUAAGAUGUAAGACUGAAAUGAAGAGGGAUGAAAAAGCUGACAAUUUGAGUAUAAAGAAGAAUCAUGACAGUAAUGGUUUAUAGCAACCUGAAUUAACUAAAAAAUUACAUGAAACCAUAAGAAGAAAGAGAAAAUGUGGAGAAGGGUUAUUUUUGUAGUGAUAGGCCUGUUUACAAAUGGACAAUUGGUGGCCUUUUAAAAUCACCAUUUUUUAAAGAUUUAGGCAAAGAUAAUCUAGAGCUAUUAAAAAUCAUUGUGUGAAUGAAUGUUAAGGAACAGAUUGUUUACAUGGUCUCAAGAAAUAAUCCCAUAGUUUACUUCUUAAUUACAAAUGAAAAAUAUACCCUCAUAAUAAUGAAAUCUAUCAGUCUCCUCCUUAACUAAACAUUACAUUUUCCCAUCACCAAUGUGGGGCCAUCUGCUAUGCA
rnacentral:lncRNA from 1 species